AUACUUACCUGGACGGGGUCAGUGGGAAAUCAAGAAAGUCCAUGGCCUCGGUCCGCUAUUUCUUAAGAUUGCAUUUUGGAGGGGUAGUCGUAUAAGAUCUCCCCAAGUGGAAGAGUCUAUGUCAUAACUUAUGGUAAGAGGGAACAUGCAUACGUCUUAUCCAAU
rnacentral:snRNA from 1 species